rnacentral:rRNA from 1 species
AUUGCCCCAGUAACGGCGAGUGAAGCGGCAACAGCUCAAAUUUGAAAUCUGGCCCCUCCCCCGGGGGGGCCCGAGUUGUAAUUUGCAGAGGAUGCUUCUGGCGAGGUGCCUUCCGAGUUCCCUGGAACGGGACGCCGCAGAGGGUGAGAGCCCCGUCUGGUCGGACAACCGAGCCUCUGUGAAGCUCCUUCGACGAGUCGAGUAGUUUGGGAAUGCUGCUCUAAAUGGGAGGUAUAUGUCUUCUAAAGCUAAAUACCGGCCAGAGACCGAUAGCGCACAAGUAGAGUGAUCGAAAGAUGAAAAGCACUUUGAAAAGAGGGUUAAACAGUACGUGAAAUUGUUGAAAGGGAAGCGCUCAUGACCAGACCUGGUCCCGGCGAAUCACCCGGCGUUCUCGCCGGUGCACUUCGACGGGCUUCCAGGCCAGCAUCAGUCCGCGCCGGGGGACAAAGGCGGCGGGAACGUGGCUCCCCAGGGAGUGUUAUAGCCCGCCGCGCAAUGCCCCGGGGGCGGACUGAGGCCCGCGCGUCACCGCAAGGAUGCUGGCGUAAUGGUCAUCAGCGACCCGUCUUGAAACACGGACCAAGGAGUCGUCCUCGUAUGCGAGUGUUGGGGCGUCAAACCCCCCGCGCGUAAUGAAAGUGAACGGCAGGUGAGAGCCCUCGCGGGCGCAUCAUCGACCGAUCCUGAUGUUCUCGGAUGGAUUUGAGUAGGAGCAUACGGGGCCGGACCCGAAAGAAGGUGAACUAUGCCUGUGUAGGGUGAAGCCAGAGGAAACUCUGGUGGAGGCUCGCAGCGGUUCUGACGUGCAAAUCGAUCGUCAAACAUGGGCAUGGGGGCGAAAGACUAAU